UACGAAGGGGGCAAGCGUUGUUCGGAAUUACUGGGCGUAAAGGGCGCGCAGGCGGCCUGCCAAGUCAGAUGUGAAAUCCCGGGGCUCAACCCCGGAACUGCAUCCGAUACUGCCAUGCUAGAGGAUUGGAGAGGUAGCUGGAAUUCUUGGUGUAGCAGUGAAAUGCAUGGAGAUCAAGAGGAACACUCGUGGCGAAAGCGAGCUACUGGACAAUAUCUGACGCUGAGGCUCGAAGGCCAGGGUAGCGAAAGGG
rnacentral:rRNA from 1 species